rnacentral:lncRNA from 1 species
UACAAACAUGGCACAGCCAGCUUGCCUUGCAAGGCCUCACCCAUUUCUGCUCAGGAAGUCUCUUUGCUCCUAAGCUUCAUAUGUUGUCCAAUUUGGCUUCAAAAUUUCUGCUAUUAUUACUGUUUCUCCUCCUUUUGAUCUUCCUUUUGUUCCCCAGUGCCAGAAUUUCCAGAGCCUUCUUGCUCAGAUGCCAUCUUUUUGUAUGCCAUUUCGAAGAGCUUCAGUGAUGCCUGCUGAAGAGAGGAUGCUGUUUGUCCAAUGUUUUCUCCCGUUUCGCUGUCUUUUCUAUCCAGAAGCCCCUUCAUUUUGGAAAUCUCUUCUUUUAGCUUUUGCACUUAUCAGCAGGUAAUUGGUCCUUGAAUUUAAAAUGUGGAACGCUUCACAAAUUAUGUCAUCAUAAUUUAAAAUAAAGGGAAACACAGAGCUUUCUGAUUUGUAAAGAGAUUUACAAAUGACCUUAAUAAUUUAUUUUGACCAAAAUAUUAUUUUUAAA